CAGGCGUACACUUAAGGACUAGAACCGCACCAGAACAUGAAUGCCGAACACCAGGAGAGCUUGGCCCGUCCGACUCCAGCGAGUCUGUUUACGGAGAAAAGUUAGCGAGACGCGGCCGGAUGGUUCUCGCGAUCGUACGCCUCCUGGCGUGGAUGGGACCCGGAAAGGUGCGCUUGCCUGCUCAGAAAACCUUUACAAACAGGUAUUUUUUUUUAAUGUUUAAUGUGCUACAAAGAUGGCGGCCCCGCGACACCGGAGGUGGAAGCCGGAGAGUGUUAACCUGCCAGGGGGCGGGCUCUAUGCCGGCGGAGGCGAAGAGAUCUGAGGUCAGUUCGAAGAGAAGAGUGUGCGUCAGAGGGCUGUGAGGCAGUGACCGAGGCUGACCGCAGAUCAGCCAACAGGAGAGGCUGAUUCCCGCCUGUGCAGCAAAGAAGAGCACGACAUGUUGGGAGUAGUAGAAGAGUCCAGCGUUUUGUUUUCUGGAAUUUCACAUUUAAAUAUGUAUAAAUUAAAAUAUUUAUUAAUAAAUCUCCAAUAAACAAAGAAAACUGACA